UACGAGGGUGCAAGCGUUAAUCGGAAUUACUGGGCGUAAGCGUACGCAGGCGGUUUGUUAAGCGAGAUGUGAAAGCCCCGGGCUCAACCUGGGAACUGCAUUUUCGAACUGGCAAACUAGAGUCUUGUAGAGGGGGUAGAAUUUCAGGUGUAGCGGUGAAAUGCGUAGAGAUCUGAAGGAAUACCGGUGGCGAAGGCGGCCCCUGGACAAAGACUGACGCUCAGGUACGAAAGCGUGGGGAGCAAACAGGAUUAGAUACCCGCGUAGU
rnacentral:rRNA from 1 species